UACGGGGGGGGGCAAGCGUUGUUCGGAAUUACUGGGCGUAAAGGGUUUGUAGGCGGCUCGCUAAGUCACACGUGAAAUCCCUCAGCUUAACUGGGGAACUGCGUGUGAGACUGGCAAGCUCGAGUGCAGGAGAGGAAUGCGGAAUUCCAGGUGUAGCGGUGAAAUGCGUAGAUAUCUGGAGGAACACCGGUGGCGAAGGCGGCAAUUCUGGACUGCAACUGACGCUGAGAAAACGAAAAGCCAGGGGGAGCAAAACGGGGAUUAGAAA
rnacentral:rRNA from 1 species